GUGAGAGGUGUAAGUGUAGUAAUACAUGCAGCUGACUCAUACUAAUCGAUCGAGGGCUUGAUCUUA
rnacentral:rRNA from 1 species